UUUCCGUAGGUGAACCUGCGGAAGGAUCAUUAUCGUACAGAGUAUGAGGGGCAUUCGAGGGCUGUCGCUGACCCACAAGUCGUACACGCCCGAGUGUGUCUUCUUGCAUAGUAAUCGCUCUCAACCUUUGUGCAUCCCCGCGUGUUCGCCCUUCGGAAACAUCGCGGAGAGGGACUCGCGUUAUAACACAAAACCACGUUUUAAAAGUGUAGAAUGACCACAUUUAUGCAAACAAUCCAACUUUCAACAACGGAUCUCUUGCCUCACGCAUCGAUAAAG
rnacentral:misc_RNA from 1 species